CUAGCUUUCUGAAACACUACUUUCUUAAUAUAUUCGUUCAUUCUCUCUUCUAUGUCCUUGUUCAUUCCAUAUUCUAAAGAAUAUAGAAUUAGUGAAGGUCUUAUUUUGGGGAAAAUAGCUUCUAGGUCAUGUGCAAUUUAUCGAAUUUCUGAUUGCUUUGCUAAUUUUUGGUUACUAUUAGGCAAAGAAUAUUUAGUAUUGUGCAAGACUGAAUUUUAAGGAAACAAAUGCUGCUGAAUUUCAUGUCACUCUCUUCAAAUAUCCGCUGCUCAUCAGGACUUACAUUUUCCAUGCAAUUGGUGUAUCAUUAUGCUACCAUCAAAAGAAGUGAUAUCCUGCAUCUUAGAGGCAUCAAGGAUGCCGCUAUAUUUAUUCUUGUAGAACUGUGUUGGAAUAAGAGUUGCUAAGGUAAAUUUUGAAGCUUAGCAGAAUAAAAAUGGAAAUCCUUGUUUACUUUUUUAUGUUUCAAGAAGAAAUACGUACUAUCUCCUCUUAUCCUUUCUGUUAUGUUAGGAAAUACUUUAUGAUCCUAAAUGGAUAGUUGCACAUAUUCAUGCUAUCCGUUUUAACUAUUUUCUUGGUCUAUUUCAACUAUCAAUCCUCAAACAACGCAUAAAGAGAAACUGGGUAUGCGAAAAAUAUAAGCACAGUGCAAUGUGUUUAUGCAAUAUUAAGACGCCAGCUCAGUAAAAUGAAUCGAUCGUAUUUGUUAUUAUUGUACUAUUAUAAUUGUGUUAUUUUAGUCAUCUUGUCGCCAUUCCACAAGCAAGACAUCACGUAGUAUCUUUGUUUCAGGUCUUUAACCAUAUUUUGUGGGUAAUUUAUUUCUUUUACUGCAUGUGAAAGUAAAUAUUGCUUUAAUUAUGGCUUCAUGCGAUGCAAUGUAUAGUACUUCACUGUACCAACCCUAUAAUAAUUUUUUUCAUAGGCUUAUUUGUAGAUAGAUUAUUUACAAAAUUUUAAAUGUAACGAAAUGUUAGCAUUCUUUCUGAUUUCUAAAAUGUCUAUUAUUGGCAUAUUUUAAUUUUCUCCCAAUGCCUACAAAACCCUCGCCAUUUCAAAAUGAAAUAACUAAAUUUUGUAUACGAUGCUAGAAAUUAAGCACAAAAGCUAAGACAUUCUACAAUAUUUUUUUAUGUUUGUGUGUACACAGCAACACUUUAAUAUUUAGAUACAAAGACCAAAUUUUCAUAUGAAGAAAAGAGUAGUACACCAAGAAUCUUUGUAUUUGAGUGUGAGCAACUUUUGUCAUGAAACUUGAGGUCGCCAAACCAUGAUUUGAUAGGAAUUCAGUUUAUAUUUCCCAAUUUAUAAUGUUAAGAAGUGUUUUGGAAUUCUUAAUACUUGAAAGAACAAAAAACUUCAUGCUUGAUUUUAAGAUUGUGUAUCCUUUCUAAUCUGAGGUAAAAUGUGGAUAGCAAGGAAAGCUCUCUUAAUAUUAUUCGUGAGGCACUUUGCUUGGCUGACUUACAAGUCUGUCUAAAAAGCUUUCUCCUUGGCUCUUAUUUUAAGCCUAUCUAUUAUUUUAAGCUCUUAGCUACAUGGCAUUUUUUCUUCGUUGUACAAUAUUUUCCAAACUGUCUUUAAAUGAGUUUCAUAGAUAACUUUCUAUCGCUGGGGGUUUCGAAGAACAGAAACAAUCACAAUUAUCUUCCUUAAAGCUCUUUCUAUCUUCUUAUUUUCCCCUUUUGUAUCUUUUUCUCUUCAAGGAAAAGCAUUAAAAAUAUACACUACUAAUUUAUCAGUAUAGCAUUGACAAAAAUAUCCGUUUAGGGGAUGAUUACCCAUUAAAAAAAUAGGAGCCAGUGCUUUUUCCUUAUCUUAUUUUUUUCUUGAAGGAGAUUAUUGUUGUCUACUCUAAUUUUCUACCAUUCCUUGCUAUUUUGGUGCCUUCAGAGAAAUGCUUUUAUUUUUGGAUCAAUUACGAUUUGUGUGGUUUUCUUCUAGCUCAACUGCAGAUUUGCUUCAUACUUCAUGAACUGUAUUGCUUGUGUUGUUGUUUAAUUUAUAAAUGAAAUUGUGACUUCUUAAAAAAAAUCAGUUGUCUAAAUUGGUAAACAUUGCAAGUACUUAAAACUUUUGUCAAAUGUGGACUUAACAAAUGUAGGCCAAAUUUGCAAGACUAUUUCUCAAAUCUUAGAUCCUUCCUUUCAAUCAAACGAAGGGAAAAUCCUCUUUUAACUACUAUUUUCAAGUUUAUGCAAGUUGAAUUUGCAUCUCUUCCUUCUUGAAGUGCGGAGUUGAAAGCGAUUACAUAUUUUUGGCAUUCAUUCUUAAUUUUGAUAAGUGCUUCUAUAUAUUUGGCAUAACCUAUAGUUUCUGCAUCUAAUGUAAUGUUGUCAAAGCUUCUUUCUUAAAACUUGGAAUUGGUUAUUUCUUGCUUUACAAUUUCUUCUGCACUUCUUUGUCCUCUGAUUGGUCAAAUCAUGUAUCUCUUGUUUUCAUCAUCCCUUAUGCUUCUGGUCCUUCUUUUCUAUAAAAAAAUAUUUUGUAUUCAUUUAUUCAACCUUUUAUACUUUUCUAUGUACUAAGAACUCUCUCUUUCAGUUUUACUUUCAACUUUAUAGCUUUACAUAUUUCUAAGUUAUACAUUAGUGAGAAAUCUUCUAAAUUUUUAUCUUUUCAGACAUAAAAUGUAAAAGUAUUCUUACAUGGAAUUGUUGCUGAGAUGGAUUUUUUUUAAUCCAUAAUUACUUAUUGAUCUUGUUACAAGAAAUGGUGGCAGAUUUAGAUAGAACCAUUGCUCGAUGCAAGAUUAAUUAGGGUAGGAAUUUGCUUUCAAGAGAAACUGCAGUAAAUAGAGAAUAGAAAGAACUUCGUCUUUUACAGAAAUUCUUGAAGCAGUCGGGCUCUCUACGUAGUGAUGUAGUGAACCUGAUUCUGUUAAAUGGAAUAGAAAUACCUACAAUUUUUUCUCAGUUGAUAAAGUCCUGUUAUCUGUUUAAAACUACUGACUCAUUUGGAACAAGAACUUGGAGGUGUAUUUGGCAAAGCAAAGCAGCACCAGAGUUAAUUUUCUUGGAGUGGACUACAUGUCAUAAUGACCUAACUCGAGCAAACCUCCCACAUGCUAGUGAAAUCAUAUGCUUAAGAUGUUACGUGUGCUUAGAGGAAGCUGAAGUCCAUUUUUUCUUCCAUGUACCAUUGUUUCCUAGCUUUAUUGCAUGGUCUUGGAUUUAUAGAAGUAACUAUUGCUGGAUGGGCAAGAAAGUAAAGAACAUCUCAGAAAUAUAUGGAAUACAAUCCCGACCUGCAUUUCUUAAGUAGUUUAACGUGCAAUAAAACGUUGUAUUUACCUACCAAAACAAAAUCAUGAAACUCUUAAGAUUAUGUUGAGCAAGUGAUUAUAUUUUUUCAGUGACCCAGUACAUGUUUCCUGCACUUUGUUGUUGUAAACUUCCAAUUUUAUUGGUUCCGAUCACUGUAAGAGAUUAGAAAUUCUCUCCCACUUGCAAUAUGAAUAUUUCGUUAA